GAUGAACGCUGGCGGCGUGCCUAAUACAUGCAAGUCGAGCGAACGGACGAGAAGCUUGCUUCUCUGAUGUUAGCGGCGGACGGGUGAGUAACACGUGGAUAACCUACCUAUAAGACUGGGAUAACUUCGGGAAACCGGAGCUAAUACCGGAGGAUAUUUUGAACCGCAUGGUUCAAAAGUGAAAGACGGUCUUGCUGUCACUUAUAGAUGGAUCCCCGCUGCAUUAGCUAGUUGGUAAGGUAACGGCUUACCAAGGCAACGAUGCAUAGCCGACCUGAGAGGGUGAUCGGCCACACUGGAACUGAGACACGGUCCAGACUCCUACGGGAGGCAGCAGUAGGGAAUCUUCCGCAAUGGGCGAAAGCCUGACGGAGCAACGCCGCGUGAGUGAUGAAGGUCUUUGGAUCGUAAAACUCUGUUAUUAGGGAAGAACAUAUGUGUAAGUAACUGUGCACAUCUUGACGGUACCUAAUCAGAAAGCCACGGCUAACUACGUG
rnacentral:rRNA from 1 species